GAUGAACGCUGGCGGCGUGCCUAAUACAUGCAAGUAGAACGCUGAAGGAGGAGCUUGCUCUUCUGGAUGAGUUGCGAACGGGUGAGUAACGCGUAGGUAACCUGCCUGGUAGCGGGGGAUAACUAUUGGAAACGAUAGCUAAUACCGCAUGACAACAGUUAUUGCAUGAUAACUGUUUAAAAGGGGCAACUGCUCCACUACCAGAUGGACCUGCGUUGUAUUAGCUAGUUGGUGAGGUAACGGCUCACCAAGGCGACGAUACAUAGCCGACCUGAGAGGGUGAUCGGCCACACUGGGAGUGAGACACGGCCCAGACUCCUACGGGAGGCAGCAGUAGGGAAUCUUCGGCAAUGGACGGAAGUCUGACCGAGCAACGCCGCGUGAGUGAAGAAGGUUGUCGGAUCGUAAAGCUCUGUUGUAAGAGAAGAACGAGUGUGAGAGUGGAAAGUUCACACUGUGACGGUAUCUUACCAGAAAGGGACGGCUGACUACGUG
rnacentral:rRNA from 1 species